rnacentral:lncRNA from 1 species
GACAGUUAAUUACUGAAGCACCGAGAGAGAACAUUUUGUAUUCCUGCUUUGCGAAUGUGCCUCGAAAACCUGAGACUAAUGAGACCAAGUUCUCACCCCAGCUGUGAACUUGCUGACUUUCCUGCUUGGAAACCCGAGCAGAGCUUCUGAACAUUGGAAUGUCCUGGGUCUUGAAGUAUCUGAAGCUUCUUCUAACAGACAAACGGGGUUGGAAAGAUGGCUCAGUGGUGAAGGGCGUGCACUGCUCUUCUCGAGGACCUGAGUUCAGAUCCCAGCACCUACAUCAGAUCACUCUCCAUCACCUGUGACUCCAACUCUAGGGAGAACAAACAUCCCUGGCCUCUACUGGCAUUUGCUCUCACAUGUAUAUAUGUCACCCAAACAUAAACACACAAUUUAAAAUAAUAAAAAUCAAUCUUAAGUAAAAGACAAAA